UCGGCCGUUGUGAAUGUG
rnacentral:siRNA from 1 species